AACAAGGUCUCCGUUGGUGAACCAGCGGAGGGAUCAUUAUCGAGUUAUUCAACUCCCAAACCCUAUGUGAACUUACCACUUGUUGCUUCGGCGCGCGCUUCGGCGCCGCCGAGGACACUUAAACUCUUUGUUUUUAUAAGCAUUUCUGAGUGGCCGAAAGGCAAAAAUACAAAUGAAUCAAAACUUUCAACAACGGAUCUCUUGGUUCUGGCAUCGAUGAAGAACGCAGCGAAAUGCGAUAAGUAAUGUGAAUUGCAGAAUUCAGUGAAUCAUCGAAUCUUUGAACGCACAUUGCGCCCGCCAGCAUUCUGGCGGGCAUACCUGUUCGAGCGUCAUUUCAACCCUCGAGCCCGACUCUUUUGAGGACGGCUCGGCGUUGGGGGACGGCAGACUCCCCCCGGCAUCUCGCCGGGGACGCCGCCCCCGAAAUCUAGUGGCGGCCCUCCGAGGCGACCUCUGCGUAGUAACUUGUUCUCGCACCGGAAAGCUCAGAGCGGCCACGCCGUAAAACCCCAACUUUUUUCAGGUUGACCUCGAAUCAGGUAGGACUACCCGCUGAACUUAAGCAUAUCAAUA
rnacentral:rRNA from 1 species